rnacentral:rRNA from 1 species
UACAGAGGGUGCGAGCGUUGUUCGGAAUUAUUGGGCGUAAAGGGCGCGUAGGCGGUGCCACAAGUCACUUGUGAAAUCCCCGGGCUUAACUCGGGGCCUGCAGGCGAAACUGUGGUGCUGGAGUAUGGGAGAGGUGCGUGGAAUUCCCGGUGUAGCGGUGAAAUGCGUAGAUAUCUGGAGGAACACCCGUGGUGAAGACGGCUUGCUGGACCGUGACUGACGCUGAGGCACGAAAGCGUGGGUAGCAAAAGGG